rnacentral:rRNA from 1 species
AUAUCAAUAAGCGGAGGAAAAGACACCAACAGGGAUUCCCUUAGUAACGGCGAGUGAAACGGGAAAAGCGCAACAUGGGAAUCGGGCCGUAAGGUUCGAAUUGUAGGGUUGCACUGUCUGCCUGGAGCAAUACGGCGUGUAAGUCCUUUGGAAUAAGGCAGCAUAGAGGGUGAUACUCCCGUGACAUGUCGUGGCGCUUAGGAUGGUAGGCAGUAGGCGAGUCGAGUUGUUUGGGAUUGCAGCUCAAAUGGGUGGUAAACGCCAUCCAACGCUAAAUAUAUGCGAGAGACCGAUAGCGCACAAGUA